UACAGAGGGUGCGAGCGUUAAUCGGAAUUACUGGGCGUAAAGCGUGCGCAGAUGGUCAUGUAAGUCGGGUGUGAAAUCUCGGAGCUUAACUCCGAAACUGCAUUCGAUACUGCCGUGCUUGAGGACUGGAGAGGAGACUGGAAUUUACGGUGUAGCGGUGAAAUGCGUAGAUAUCGUAAGGAAGACCAGUGGCGAAGGCGGGUCUCUGGACAGUUCCUGACGCUGAGGCACGAAGGCCAGGGGAGCAAACGGG
rnacentral:rRNA from 1 species